GGAGAAGCCGUACUUUCUGCGGAACUCGCUGCGCUUCCGGGCCAGCAGCCGCUGCCGGUUGCGCUCGGCCUCGGACUCCAGCGCAUCGAAGACUGCGGCGCCCACCAGCAGCACCAAAAUGGUACCUUCUUCGGAGUCCUACCUGUGAGCCUGUAUGGAGACUUCUGCUACAGUACCAGUUACCCUCACCUGAAGCUGUUGGGGACAACUGGACCUCCCAGGAACUGCAGUAGCAUAAGAAUGGCCCCCAAGAAUGCCCAUGCCUCCUCCUUGGGAUCUGUGAAUACAUUUGGCUGCCUGGCAAAGGGAAGCUGAGGACGCUGAUGGCACAGGUUGCUGAUCACCUCAACAUGGGGGAUGAUCUCAAACCUCCGGGUGAGUCCACAUUACCACAAGGGUCCCUAUACUCAAAGAUGAAGGCAGGAGAGACACCCAGCGAUUGCAGCAUUAGGAACUCAGCCUGAUCCCUGGAGGAGGGGUAAAGCAGGUGACAUUCAGGAGCUGGAAGUGGGAAGAAGAUGGGUUCCUGCUUUGUCUAGAGAAAGGAAUGUGGACACACAGGCACCUUUGUUCUAGCCCAAGGAGACCCAUGUCGAGAGAACUAGAAAGUUCUUCUUUUUGGGGGGCAGAGGUGGAUGUAAAUGUGCAAGUACACAUGUGGGGGCGAUAUGCAUGCACACGUGUGUGCAUAUGUGUAGAGGCCAGACAUCAACUUUUGAAUGUCACUCCUCAGGAACUAUCCACCUUGUUAUUUCUUUGGAACAAGAUCUCUCAUUAGGAUUCAGGGCUCUCCAAUUCAGGCAACUGACUAGCCAGACUGCCCCAGAGAUCCUCUUGACCUGACCUCCUCAGGUAGGAUUACAAACACAUGCCACCACACCUGACUUAAAAAUGGGUGCUGGGGAUUGAUCUCAGGUUCUCAUGGUUGUUAAGCAAGCACUUUACUGGCUGAACUCUCUCUCCUCAGCCCCAGAAAGUAAUUUGGAGGGGAGUGGGAGGUGGGGGUAAGUCCCCAUGUUUGUGAUGAUUGACAGCUGCCAUAGGGUGAAUGGAGAAGCCUGGGGAGCCCCACCUGCUUGCCAACGGGAUUACCCUAGGGGCAUUUAGCCCCUGUUACUAUCACAGUGAGUGGACCCUGGCCUGUAAGACCUCAGUUCUGGGGUGGAGUUGGGGCUCAGUGCCUAUAGAAAAAGAUUUGCACACCCUCACCCCCAGAGGGUCAGGAUGGCAGCCAAGUGGCCCAGAAGCAGGUUGCUGACGCGGUGAGCUAACACAGUUGCUGAGACUUUAUUUUUAGUAAGGGCAUCAGCAAGUUUGUUUUUCUGAUUCUUCUCCGCACAGAGAGGCAGAAACCUGGGCAGAAGCCUCGGGGUGGGGGCAGGGCGCCAGGCUCUUCCACUCAAGAAGGGUUGGAGAAGAGCCUGUGGGGACGAGCAAGCUUGGGGAGCAGCUUGGUCGUGGGGAGCGGGGGAGGAGAGUUCACGAGGAUGAUCCUGAGCACAGCUGAAGUUCAGAAAGACUUGAGUUCAAAUUCCUACUCCUCCACUUUCUACUUGCAUUUCCAAAGACAGAACAUCUCCACCUUUUUGAGCUUCGAUUUUCCCAUGUGAGAACCAAGAUACCAACGCUCCCCACGGAGGACCGUUACAGACACUGGGAUGUGCUGCUUCCCAGGUACCCUGAGCUGGUAGUCUUGUUUCCUCCCUUUUCAAAACUGCCUGUCGACAGAUGCCAGGAAUUCUGUUUUCAGAAACAGAGGAGAGUCUGGCUAGAGGCGCUGGAGCCCUGUGUGUGCUGAGCAUUGCCACAGUGUCACCUCUACAGGUCAGGAAAGAGAAGGUGCCGAUCUACCAAGUCCCCGUGGUCAUGGCUGAGACAGGACUCGAACAUGGGCCUGCCUGAAUCCCAAGGGCACCACUCUUCUUAGGCUAGGCACUGCUGGCCAUGUCACUCUUCCAUCGGCCCUGGGGACCAUACUUUCCUCAUCUGUGAGAUGGCUGCAAGAUCCUCGGUAGACGAAGCUGUCCCGCCACUGUGAGGAUCCCAUGACAUAGAGCUGAGGGUGACUUGUCAGAUGUGCCUACUGGGGUGGGUAUAAUUGGGGCCAUGGAGGCACUGUCUGGCCCUGCCAGGCAGGUGACUCUGCCCUGUGCUUGGCAUUUUUGGUUCAGCAGUGCUAUUUUAAGCCGGAGGAGGUUAAGUUUGUGUAUGUGUGUUUCUCAGCUUGGAAGUCAUCAGCUGAGCAGACACCAAAAACAGAACUCCCUAAGGCACUCUUUUCAGCUCCCCUCCUCCCCCUGCUUGGGGACCUGAGGGCAUCUAGUGAUUUUCCUUUGUCCCCUGAUGCUAGCAUUAUACCCAUGGCCUUUCAGGGAGGCCUGGGGGCUCCUUAAAAGCUGGCAGCCUUUGCCACUCACACACUGGGGAGAGGAAGCUGAGGCCCAGCACAAGAGAGGGGACUCAUCUAAGGCCACACAAGAUCAGGUGGUGAACAAGGGACCAGGAUGGAGUAGAUAGUUAUCUGGGACCUUGGGUCCCGUCUUAGGCAUGUGACUUCACCUCUCUGAGCCCCAGUGUGCCCUCAUCUCUGCCUCAGCAGGUGGGUAGGAAUAUCUGCCUGACAAGAUUCCUGUGAGGAUCCAAUAAAUGUGCUAAAUCCAGGGUUUCACCAGCAAAUGACAGCGCCCGCCCCUGCACCAAACCAGUUUCUCCGCAGCCCCUUCCAUGUUGCUCAUUCUGAAGGCUUUAGGGAUCAUAGGAAAUUGAUUUUUACAGUUAGAAUGAAGUUCAGUGAUUUCCAGAAAGCCAACAGGCUCAGGCAUUUCCCUUGAUAAGGUCCCUAUGUGUCCCUCUUAACAGAAUUGACUGUUUUCACCCCAGGGGACAUCAUUGGGAGCUCCUUAGAGAGCAGCUGUGGCUUGUCAGCACCCUGACUGUCACUCAGGGAUCUGGGCUGCGUGACAUAAAAAGCUGCUUCCCACUAACCAAAGAAUCUCAGGCUUACAAGGACACGUGAUCAAAGUCACCAGGCCAAGAGGCAUGCAUAGGAAGGCCACCUGCUGUGAGCUUGUUCUGGUGGCAGCCAUACUUCCCUGUAGGGAGGGGUUUACCAGGCAAUGGUGCGGGGUGACCCUGGCUGCCACGUGGCAGUCAGAGCUCAGCUGCUGACGAGCCCCACCCUCUCUUCUGCAGUGAAAUCUACUCUGUUGGAAUCAAGGGUGUCUGAGUCACGGGGUCAGGGCUUAUCCAGAAGACAUCAUGGCCUAGGGAUGGCAAGAAGAUGGGGAAACACUGGACAAGAAAGUCACGGGCUGGGCUGGGAAGACGGUUCAGCUGUAACUCCAGUUCCAGGGGAGCUGAUGCCCCGCCCCCCACGACCUCCUUGGGCACCAGCCAUGCUCAUGCAUACAUGCAUGGAAAAUACCCAUACACUCAAGAUAAGUAAAUCGAAAAAGUUUUGUUUCAAAAAUUCAGGUCAGACUUGGUGGUACAUGCCUUUAAUCCCAGUCCUUGGGAGGCACAGGCAGGGGGAUCUCUGUGAGUUCAACUCAGCCUGGUCUACAAAGAGAGUUCUAGGCCAGCCAGGGUUACACAGUAAGACUCUGUCUCAAAAGAAAAACAAAUAUAUAACUUAGUUUAUAAGGGGAGAGGAGAUAGUGGAGCCUGGGUUAACCAAAACUAAAGACUUUAUGAAAAACCAGUAUGGAAAUCUACUGCUUCAUAAGCUAAUUACAAACUGUAAUUAAAAUAUAGAACGAGUUUGAACACAGAUACCCUGCAUGUGUGGUCAAUACUUCCACCAGACCACUUGGGUUAUUAAAGAAAAAUGUCAGUGCCAAGCAUAGGUUAUUGAUCAGGAAGGCCCCCGAAAUCCCCAAAACAACACAGACUAUUGCUGUUGCUCCUGAUUGCCAGCCAGAACUAGAUGUUAAGGCCCUGCUGCAGAAGACACAGGACAUUUUGGUUGCAGGACACGGAGAAAUGAAGCUGGAACUGCCAUGAAACCUUCCUCCCUGCUGUUUCUGUUCAGUGGCAGAGGAUGCUCCGCAGGCUUUCUGGGGAGAAAAGUUGUCCGUGUCAGCUCUGCCGACAACCCUGCAUCCCACCACGCUGUCUUGCCAGGCAAGAUGUGCCCACUUUGGUGGCGUGAGAGUCAUGGCGGUCACCAUCUGCUUUUGGAUUGGAUUUGAGGCCUGAGCCACAGGAAGAAAGCCAUGCCUGGUACUGUAAACCUGCUCUAAGGCGUGGCUUGAGAGGUUCUAGGGGAGAACAUACUACUGUUGUUUUGGUACCCGACACAUUGCCAAACCACCUUCUAAAUAUUUAUGCUAAUUCCCAUGGAUUAGUGCUGUUCUCAGCCUUGGCUAGAGAAGCUUCUCUUUGCGGUAGCCAGUAGCUAAUGUGGAGACUCGUAACUGAUGAAAGUGAAGAAGUAAAUGACAGUUGAUGCUCAGCAUGGACUAGAACAAUCUAUACACACACACACACACACACACACACACACACACACACACACACACACACACACACAGCAUCACAGAGGAGGAAGGGAGCAGAAACACUGUAAGAGCAGGAGGAAGGAGAGGAGGGCUGUGAAAUGUUGUCUUCUGGAUAUGACAGGGCCAUGGCACUCAUGAACCCACUGCAGCUGUGGUUACCUGCCCAAGAUCCAGCCAGCAAGUUGGGAGGACAAGGGCAAAAAGCAGCCAAAACAUCACAAGAACAGUCUCUAUGCCGCUUUCUAAUAUUCUUCUCCUCUGAAACUUCUUGAGCCAAGCUGUCACAUGCUGUGGGAUGUCUUUCUGUAUGCUGUGAAUAUGUGUUCCUCCCAUUGGCUAAUAAAUAAAGCUGCAUUGGCCUAUGGCAGGGCAGGAUGGAGCCAGGUGGGAAAAUCCAAGAGAGACAGUAAAAGGAGAAAGGAGAGUGUGGGGAGACGCCAGCUGCCGCCCCAGGAGCAGCAAGAUGCCAGCAGACCGGUCACGCCACGGCCACAUGGCAACUUACAGAUUAAUAGAAAUGGGUUAAGUUAAAAGAGCUAGCUAGCAAGAUAUAAGCCUCUGAACGAUCAUUUUAUAAGCGGCUAUGAAUCGCAGGUGAGAGGUUUGUCCUGACCUCGGGGCGGGCAGGACACAGGAAAUCUUCCGGCUAUAGUCACAGUUCACAUGUCCCUCAGCACCAUUGUCCAUGCUCCUACUUGAAUGGACCAUUAAGGCCCACUUAAAAUGUUCAACCACUUUUCUAGUACAAAGUCCUCCAACAAGCAGCCUGGUCAAGCCUGUCACAUCAAUGCCCCGGUCCCUGGUACUAACUCCUGUCUCAGCCCCUGUUCUACGGCUGUGAAGAGACAUAGUGACCAAAGUAAACCUUAUGAAAGGAAGCAUUUAAUUGGGGGCUGGCUUUCAGUUUCAGAAGCUUAGUCCAUUAUCAUCCUGGCAAGGAGCAUGGUGCCAGGCCUGGUGCUGGAGAAGUAGCGAGUACUCUGCUCCAUCCUGGUCCACAGGCCGAAAGAGAAAACAACACUGGGCCUGGUUUGGACUUUUGAAACCUCAAAGCCCACCCUGCAGUGACACACUUCCUCCAACAAGGCCACGCCUACUCCAACAAGGCCACACCUCCUAAUCCUAAUCCUUUCAAAUAGCACCCCUCCCUGGUGACUAAGCAUUCAGAUCGAUGAGCCUGUGGGGCCCAUUCUUAUUCAAACCACCACAGUGUGUUAUUAAGAGAGGAAAGGAUAAAAGAGGGGAGUGGAAUGUGUUGGGGUGUCUAGGGAAGCGGGAAGGGGGAAUUGAGGGUCCUAGAGGGGGUGGGCAUGCAGGAAGCAGAUAAUCAGGAUCCAUUAUCUACAUAUAUGAACCUGUCAAAGAACCAAUAAAACAAGUUCUGAAAGUAUCCAGUUCCUUCGUUGCAGUGGACAUGUCAAGUUUGGCCACGGCCGUGACAUGAUGGAAAGCAGAGCACCUGCCUCACCGUGGAACAGUCCGUUGGACAGCACUGGCAAAGAGCACAGAUUUGACAACCAGACUGGCUGGAUUUGAAUGCUGGUUCCAAUCUUCAGUUAUCCUGGGCCUCUGUUUACUCGCCUGUGAAAUGGGGAUAAUGAUCCAGUAAAGGCCCACAUAUGUGGGAGUCCACAGAGGUUUCCUAGUGAGAUCUGAGCUUGCUUUACACAGCAGGGCUGCAUUAGGAGAUGGCUGGACCAUGUGUAUGGUCACCAGGUGUCUGGGAUGGUCUACACUUGGCUGUGCUGGGGGGAGGUCUUUUGCUCCACCCCUUGGCAUUCCUUUAAAAGCCCUUUAGUAGAGACAGAAGGGCCUGGUGGGUUUUGACCCAGGCCCUCCUGAGCUAUCCUGUGUUUUCUGUCUCUCUCCUCUAUACUUCUGUCUACAUAUUCUUUAUUUCUCCCUGUGCUCAAGAGUACCCUGGGGAAUAAGAGGGAGCUGGUCUUCCUCACACACAGCCAUCACACCUGGGACUAGAGGUUAGUCAGCUACUCAAAGCAUCAAGGGAUGCUCUCACUCACACUGGACAAGCUCUCCUACCAAUGAGUGCAUUUCUAGUCCUUUGUUUUGUUUUGAGACAGGAUCUUGCUAAAUUGCCGAGGCUGGCCUUUGAGUUCACUAUGCGUACAAACUGGCUUCCCAGGUACCUGGGACUAUAGGUGUGCACCGUCACACCCAGCUUGUGUGGCUUAAAUGACGUGCUAGGAAUAGAACCCUGGACCCUGAGCACUUUAGACAAGCGAUCUAACACAGAAAUCCAUUCCCUACCCCAGGACAUCCUUUUAAAUAGAAGAUUUCUAUUUGUUUGUGGGGUUUGUUUGUUUGUUCAAGACAGGGUUUCCCUGUGUAGCCUUGACUGUCUUAGAACUUGCUCUGGAGACCAGGCUGCCUGUCUCCUGAGUGCUGGGAUUAAAGGCGUGUGCCACCACUGCCUGGCACACCUGGAAGAUUUUAUUCAAUUAAAAACAAACAUUUGUUUUCCGUCCAAUCUAUUCCUUGUGUUUAGCCCUGUUCAUGAGCUUCACACAUUGUCCCCAUAUGUGAAGGACACCCAGGACUGGCAGGCAACUAACAGAACAACAGGAGAGUAGAAUCCUCUGCACCAUGGUUCUUUCUUUUUAAAAAUAUUAUUAUUAUCAUUAUUAUUGUUGUUGGUUUAUUUGUUUGUUUUUCGAGACAGGGUUUCUCUGUGUAGUUUUUGGUGCCUGUCCUGGAUCUUGCUCUGUAGACCAGGCUGGCCUUGAACUCACAGAGAUCUGCCUGGCUCUGCCUCCCGAGUGCUGGGAUUAAAGGCGUGCGCCACCACCACCCGGCUAUUUUUAUUAUUUUAAUUGUGUAUAUGUGUGUGUGUGUGUGUGAGUGCAUGUGCAUGUGCCUUUGAAGACAUCGGACCCCCGGAACUGGAGUUACAGGCAGUUGUGAGCCACUUGCUAUAGUGCUAGGACACAAACCUGGGACCUCUUAAGAACAGUGCAUGCUCUUAACCGCUGAGCUGUCACUCCAGCUGCCUCCGGAUGUUUCUUUCCAGAUCCUUUGGAGUUGUUUCUUCCAUGCCCAAUUUAAAGUAGUUUUUAAACCACAAGUCUUUAUUGAGCUUUCGUAAAAAACAAAUCUCUUCCCUUUGUGCUCGUAUUUCACCAGCUUAUGGGAUCGCUAAUUCAAUUGCCUCUUUACAAAAACCAGUGUGGCUGGUGCAGACCAGUUUGGAAACAAACCCAAUAGACUCUUGGCAAGCAUGCAAUUUGAUGGCAGAAAGCCAGAGGGGACAAGGGUGCCAGAGAAUGGCCUGCUGGCCACUCAGCAGGCGUGUGGCAGGAGUGUCCCAUUCAAACAGCCUGGAGAGCCCCAUUAGCCGGGAAGCUGUUUCAACAGAUUGCUAACAGGAAUUUUGUUCUCAUCCUCAUUCUAGCAAAGACUCCAUAGUGUGGUGUCGACUUUGGGAGACACCUGCACAGCAAGACAAUUCAUUUGCCAGCCUGUCUUGCAGCCACAAGUGACCAUGGGAUAGGCCUCACCAAUGGAGUGCAAGUUAGAGUGUGGGUUCCAGACAUGGCCUCUGGGGAACAGGGAAACGUCUCCAUCUCUGUCUGCAAUAUAGACGCAGAGGACCCUGUGCCCUGGGAAAUGGUGGGUCACCAUGUAAACAGCCAGGAACAUCACGUGAAGGAAAGCCGCCAUCCCGUCAGAAUGCUUGCCUGGUUUAUUAAGACAGCUAGCAUCACCCAAUGGACACACUUACCAUGUAAGCUGUGAUAGUCAAAUUAGAUGAUACAUACACAAUAGACUCCCAAGUGGGACUUCCUAUUGUUUCAGGUUCCCAGAUGAAGUCUGCUUUACAGCUGAGGUCAAACAGAAGGUACCAAGAACGCCUAUAUUCCAGAAAGCUCCAAGACUCACCUGCAGGCCCUUCUUAGAAACGUUCCACUGGCUUCCGCCUCCUAGUCUAGUCCCUCCAGCUAUGUAGUAAAGUCAAGGGCAAGUUUCUAGGACCAGAGAACAGGUUUAAAUCCUGGGCCUACAAUAUACCAACUGCGAGACCCUGGUAAAAUUGUGUCAGCUCUCUGGGUGGCCUUAAUGAUAAUAUCUGCCACCUCAUUGCCCUAUACCCCCCCAGAUACAGAGGCUGUGAGGUCAGCUUGAGUCCUGGCUGCAUGUUCUAUUCCACCCUCCCUCCGACCCCUGCCUCCUCCCUCUCCCUGACUGCUGAAUCCUGUCAGUCACUACAUGGAUCUCUUCUUUAUCUAGUUGGAAGCCAGAAGAGAGUCACAAGGAAUAACAAGAGCCAUCCAGGUCAGAGCAAGCAGCCUGGGGAAAGGCCUGGAAGGGAGAACGUGGCCAAGAGGGGAUGCCACACCUAUGGGGUGUCUCAGCACAGAGGGUCUGGAAGACACAAGAGGCCUGAGAGUCGUGGGUCUGGCCCAGUCAGUGGAGGUUUAUCUCAGGGUCCCAGAGGAUUUUAAGCAGAAUGACUUAGCCUUGGUUGUGUUUACAAUGGUCUUUCUGGCUAUGCAGUGUGGCCAAUGGGAGAAGGCACUCACGGUGGGUCAUCCAGUGGACAGACAAGGUACCCUGCCUCGGGGCCUGGUGAUUAAAUAAUACAUUCAGCACAAAUGAAAAAGCAACAAAAUACCCUCCCCCGAACAGGAGCGGGGCGGGGUGGGGGAGAGAAUAGCUAUCUCUAUUUCCAACUCACCCGGAGGCUUGGUGCACCAUCUCCAAAUAGGCUGCACUUUUACAUCUGGGCAACAGGGGGCAGCAGUGACCUCUGGAUCCAGGACUUGGAUCAGCUGGCAGCCUCUCCACUAUUCAAGCUUACAAAUAUCACUAGGGGGCAGCACCAUGUUACUGUUUCCUCCACCAGAGCCCGUUGGAAACCCGCUAAUAACACACAGAUUUUAGCAAAGUGGGCACUCAGGAUGGACUGGCAGCAGGGGACAGAGGAAAUGGAAGAUCCUGCUCGGACCAGAUGCUGGCGCAGGCGCGGGUUGUUCUUGAACAGUCGACAAGUGACCGCGUGUGAUCUGGAUACUUGAUAAUACUGUUCAGUUGAAGUUAAGAAAAAGA